rnacentral:siRNA from 1 species
UACUCCCCUGCUUUUCUCUGGU